CAAAAAGAGGUUGCUCUCACGGAAACAGGAGGUCAGUGAGAUGGCGGGGACGGUUAACGACAGCCAAGCGGCCCAAGUGGGAAUGAGUACGACUGACCAAAGUGACAAGGAACAAAACUCUCCACAGGACCAACAGGAACAGGCCGUUUCAUGCGAGGAAGGGAGCUGUUGUGUUACACAAGAGAAAUCUGAAUCCGGCCAGACCCCAAACAUUGCACAGGC